CAGCAGCCGCGGUAAGACGAACCGUGCGAACGUUAUUCGGAAUUACUGGGCUUAAAGCGCGUGUAGGCGGGCCGCCACGUCGGUUGCUGAAAUCCCCCGGCUCAACCGGGGAAGUGGCAUCGAUACGAGCGGCCUUGAGGGGGGUAAGGGGAUCUGGAACUUCCGGUGGAGCGGUGAAAUGCGUUGAGAUCGGAAGGAACGCCCGUGGCGAGAGCGAGGUCCUGGACCCUUUCUGACGCUGAGACGCGAAAGCCAGGGGAGCGAACGGGAUUAGAUACCCCUGUAGUCCCUGUCUCUUAUU
rnacentral:rRNA from 1 species